rnacentral:tRNA from 1 species
GGUUUUGGCUCAGUGGUAAAGUGCUUGCCUAGCAUGCAUGAGGCACUAGGUUCAAUCCACAGCACCA